GGCUACAAGCGACGACGGGUAGCCGGCCUGAGAGGGCGACCGGCCACACUGGGACUGAGACACGGCCCAGACUCCUACGGGAGGCAGCAGUGGGGAAUAUUGCACAAUGGGCGAAAGCCUGAUGCAGCGACGCCGCGUGAGGGAUGACGGCCUUCGGGUUGUAAACCUCUUUCAGCAGGGAAGAAGCGAAAGUGACGGUACCUGCAGAAGAAGCGCCGGCUAACUACGUGCCAGCAGCCGCGGUAAUACGUAGGGCGCAAGCGUUGUCCGGAAUUAUUGGGCGUAAAGAGCUCGUAGGCGGCUUGUCACGUCGGUUGUGAAAGCCCGGGGCUUAACCCCGGGUCUGCAGUCGAUACGGGCAGGCUAGAGUUCGGUAGGGGAGAUCGGAAUUCCUGGUGUAGCGGUGAAAUGCGCAGAUAUCAGGAGGAACACCGGUGGCGAAGGCGGAUCUCUGGGCCGAUACUGACGCUGAGGAGCGAAAGCGUGGGGAGCGAACAGGAUUAGAUACCCUGGUAGUCCACGCCGUAAACGGUGGGCACUAGGUGUGGGCAACAUUCCACGUUGUCCGUGCCGCAGCUAACGCAUUAAGUGCCCCGC
rnacentral:rRNA from 1 species